rnacentral:rRNA from 1 species
CCUUCUCUAAGGAAUAGCCUCUGGAAACGGAGAGUAAUACCUUAUACGCCCUUCGGGGGAAAGAUUUAUCGGAGAAGGAUUAGCCCGCGUUAGAUUAGGUAGUUGGUGGGGUAAUGGCCUACCAAGCCUACGAUCUAUAGCUGGUUUGAGAGGAUGAUCAGCCACACUGGGACUGAGACACGGCCCAGACUCCUACGGGAGGCAGCAGUAGGGAAUCUUAGACAAUGGGGGCAACCCUGAUCUAGCCAUGCCGCGUGUGUGAUGAAGGCCCUAGGGUCGUAAAGCACUUUCGCCAGAGAUGAUAAUGACAGUAUCUGGUAAAGAAACCCCGGCUAACUCCGUGCCAGCAGCCGCGGUAAUACGGAGGGGGUUAGCGUUGUUCGGAAUUACUGGGCGUAAAGCGCACGUAGGCGGAUUAGUAAGUUAGAGGUGAAAUCCCAGGGCUCAACCCUGGAACUGCCUUUAAUACUGCUAGUCUUGAGUUCGAGAGAGGUAAGUGGAAUUCCGAGUGUAGAGGUGAAAUUCGUAGAUAUUCGGAGGAACACCAGUGGCGAAGGCGGC